ACAGUGCCGCGUGAAAUACCCACAAAUUUCCCACAUCCCUGGCAUUACAGUUGAUGGAAAAUGGAUUUAGUAAGCUUGAAGUUGGUUUGCAGUUUGUUGUACAUAUAUGGACACUCCAUCAAUUAAACUGCAGAGUCAAAGCAAACGUUUUAUUUCACAAUCUCAGACAUUGAAGCGGCCUACUCCCAUGUUGAUUAUGCAUGGAAUAUCAAUCAAUCAUGGCUUUGGUUUGUACAAUCAAAUACAUCAACCAGCCUCACACCACAGUCAUGGGAUUUGAAAACAAUGACAAAAGAGCAUGGGUUGACAGAAUUAUGCAGGCAAGUAAUAAUCCUAAUCAUUCCUAUAAUUAAUUUGAAAGUUUGAAUCGGAA